UCCCUAAUGCUAAUUAACUUUAGCUGCUUAGAUGCAGUGAAAGAAAAUCAGGCAAUGUUAUUAUACUGUACUUAGUUUAAAAAAGAGCUAUUGUGCUGUUUGUAGUAGGUUCCAGCUUAUCCAAAAUUCAAUACGUAUUAUGUAGACCUCAAGGAAGUAUGAAUGAAUGAAGUGAAUAACCACAGGUCCACUUUAAGGCUGUCCUUUAAGGUGUUUUAUUCAUAUGACAAAACAAAAACAAGACACUUUGCUUCUGAUUAACAAUCGUUGAAACCUUCAACCUUGCCAGAUGUCACUUCAUCUCAAUGCAUAGAAUACUUUUGUGUAAUGUAUUUGUGUUGGCUCUUCAUCUUCGUGGAAAUGUUUUUGUGUAUGAGUAGACUGCAGAAUCCAAAUUUCAAUCAAAAUAUAUAUAUAAAAAAAUACCGUAUAUAUAACCUAGCACUGCUAUGCACUCAAUCAAGACUGGAGCAUUCAACUAAAUUAACCUUGACUCCUUCUCCGUGGUAAAGCGAGAAAUAGAAGGCCACCGUGCAAGCUGGUCCACCAGGUCCACAGCAGUGUGGUGGAGAUUGAAUGGGUUUGUGGAGCAGGAAGAUGUGUGAUAACCUGGCAACCAUGCGUGACACUGAAUCAAUUUUGUCACAGACCUCUUACACAGUAACUGGUUCUUACAAACACCUCCACACACCCAAGCCAUAGGACUGCUUACGUGUUAUUCUCCCGAGGUCACCUGUAGAAACUGAGGUCAUAUCUUCCUAUCACCUUAUAUUGCUUCAUAUCAUUGUGUACGAUAUAUUCCUUAUAACCCAGUUAUCAUCCUGGCUACUCUGUUUACAUUGCUUUGUAUUCAAUGCUGUUUGUCCCCUCUGACAUUCUUUUACAGAUUCCCAGACAAAAGAUGCCUAUCUAGACAAGCAUAUUGCAGUAUUUUGCAGUGGAACAAUAUGCAAGGAUCUUAGAGAAGACCGUCCGCCUAAUAAAUUAAGAUGCUGCCUGGAGUGUUCUCUUCAAUGGAGGAUAUGCACUAUGAAGUGUUUGAUAGAAGUGUUAACAGAAGAUAAGGGGGAUACACGUGUUACUACUAUCAGUUUAUGAGUACCAAAUAUAUGCUGCAUAUACAUUCAUCCAUCCAUCCAUCUUCUUCCGCUUAUCCAAGGUCGGGUCGCGGGGGAAGCAGCCUAAGCAGGGAAGCCCAGACUUCCCUCUCCCCAGCCACUUCGUCCAGCUCUUCCUGGGGGAUCCCGAGGCGUUCCCAGGCCAGCCGGGAGACAUUGUCUUCCCAACGCGUCCUGGGUCUUCCCGCGGCCUCCUACCGGUCGGACGUGCCCUAAAGACCUCCCUAGGGAGGCGUUUGGGUGGCAUCCUGACCAGAUGCCCGAGCCACCUCAUCUGGCUCUUCUCGAUGUAGAGGAGCAGCGUAUACAGUUUACACAUAUACAGUAGACACAUAUACAGUAUACAGUAUACACAUAUACAGUAUACACCUUUUUAGAUGCAGACGUGUAAAUAUAAUUUUCAAAAAAAGUAUACAAUCAUAGCAGACUUUUGUUUAUUCGUGCACACUUUGCAUCUGGCAUCUGGUUGCUGUGUUCCUAGCAGAACAUAACCUGCUGCUGUUAUUCUCUUCAAAGACUAAUAAUACGCCCACACAAGAUUAAGGCCUUGUGUAACCACAAACCUGUUUGAUGCCACAGUAGCAAGAACACCAACACAUUAUCAUGUCAGCUACAGGCAAAAAAAUAUUUUUGUACUCAUUGCCAAGAAUAGAGGCUUGUGUUUAGAGACUAUGUUUAAAUUCUGUCGCGCCAUGUCUGUGACGAUAAGUGCUGCAGAGAGCCUGACGUCACACUUUCACUAUGUAAAAGCGCUUUGAGUCACUAGAGAAAAGCGCUAUAUAAAUACAAUUCACUUCACGUCACUUCACACUUGCUUCGGGUUGCUGGGAGCCUUCCUCUCAUUAAAAGCCACCAGUGUCAUCUUAAAUUGUGAAUAUCGCUGUCUGCGGGUAUAUCGAAUAUAUUAAAGUACAUCCACAGCGUGGACACGCUGCCUUCGUUGAUCCUUUGAUGUCGGAUAUACUGUUGGCAUCCUGCUGACCGUCUUUCAUUUCUGUUGCGCUUUUAUGUCAUCUUACUUACUAAAGCAGUCACAGUAACAAUCUAAAUGUUAUGUUAUCAUUGCACCUUACCCGUAAUUUGAACACGGAAGUGAAGCACCACCCACCUCUAGAACGGCGCGCAGCAGAUGUGGCCUCUUCUCACUGCGAAAAAUAGUCCUUUCUUGUUGGGAAAACAGCUUUUUAUGGCUUUAAACCUGAUAUUUCCAUAAGGUAGACUUUCUUUUGUCCAUUUCUGCUCGCUUUUGGCUCAUCAGUAGCAAGUGAACUGUAGCCAAGUUCCCCCCGCUCGGCACGGCAGGAGGGUGAAAAAGGAAGUGUUCGCGUUUAUCGCUCGUUAGAAUAAUUAGUGCCGUUAUUAAAAUUUAUAGUUAACGUGUUAUUAUCACGUUAACUUUGACAGCCCUAGUUAUAAUAUGUUACUAUAGUAAUACAAGCUGUAGUCUAUAAUCAACAAAAGCAAACAAUGGGAUGGAUUCCUUCCGGAUAUUAUUUUCCAUGUAAAGUUCAUUGAUAAAAAAUACCACACAACAAUUGGAUCUGCCGGCAAAGCGCUCUUUUUUUGUCAUUGAUGAAAUAUGCUGGAAAUUGCUGACAACUGCUUAAUUACAUACAGGAGACUCCAGCUUUACCUUCCAGCUGCUGUUUUUUUGUGUUUACCACAUUUUGUCUUCUUCAUGUCACCUUGCUCUCCUCUUCUCUCUUUGUUCCAUGGCGAGCAGCUGCCAUAAAUAGCAGAGGUGAGUUGUUGUGAAACUUACCCCCAUGUAGGUAUUAAUAUGUGAUCCAGCAAGCUGAUGUAAAUUAGGUGCUGAUUUACAGCAACAGCCAAAGGCAGUUAACCAAAUGUGACCCACAUACAUAAAUAUUACAUUUUGAAUUGACAAGACAUUUUAAUUAAUUAGCAGUCGGGUUUAACAUUUUUCUGUAAUUUGUAAGUUGCACAUUUUAAAUUGGAAUUUAUGUAAAGUUUGGGGAAAUAAUAUUUUUAUACAUUUUGCAAGUCAAUGUACAUCAAGGGAUAAGACAAUGUUAUUUCUAAACAGCACCAACUACAUUCCAUGCAAAUUAACUUCAAAUGGCUACUGUGCACACACACGAUCUAUCAUCACAUACGGCCUACAUACACCAUGUAAAGUGCAUUUCUCCAUCACAUGCACAGAUUACUAUAAUGGCAUUGUUAAUCCAUUUAUAUUUUUUGUUCUUUGAAUUACUUAAAAAUUGCCAUCAUAAAUAUAUUUUAAAAAAAGUAAAAUCAUAUAUUCCUCUUAAAAUGGGGAAAUAGUUUCAAUGCACAGAAAACAAUCCUCUUAGUCUUAGCAUCUUUAAAAGGGAUUUGCCUCCAUCAUCCGUAGUCCUUAUGUGAGACAAGAACCCAUGUCUUUUUUUUUUUCUGUGUAUUGUAAAUAGUGAAAAACUACUAGCAAGAAGCGGCUAACAAUAAGGGUGACGGGGAUGCGAUCUAUUCUAUAAAGCCCUCUAAUAAACAUCCAAAAACGCUUCAUAGACAUGCUGCAGGUACGUAUGUAAUAUAUAACAUGUACUAUUUACAGUAUUUUAGUCGUUUUAAAAGGGAGCGAUUGUGCAAAGUCAACUUUUCAUACCAAUUGGUACUCGUUUUUGUGUAUUACGGACAAUUUGAAUCAAUUUUAAAUCAAACCAUGGCUGCAUGUCAGAUAUUUAUAAAACAAUAUUGUUUUACUUUAUACUUCCUACAGACGAGCAGUUUGCAAUUUGCCCAAUUUGUGGUGUUUUUCCCAAGUCUGACAUCAGCAGAUAGUUCCAUAUAUGGUAAUGUUUUACCCAAAAGAGUAAGACGGCCCGGGCGCACCCCAGUGCGCAUUCAUUUGUGCGCUGUGCUGGGCGCACCUCCAAGAGCGCACCGGGCGCGCGCCACUCAGGCUGCAGACGGCUACAAUCCAUCGGCUCAAUCAGCACUCAACACACCUGUCGCUGAUGAGCUUCUUAAGCCAGUGCAAACCUGCGUUCCGGGCCAGAACGUAGCGAUCUGUUCCAGUACACAGCCUUUCUCCGUUUCCGCGUCACGAGCUGUGUGUCUCGUCUCCCCGUAUUCCCUCUGGUUCCGUGGCUGCCGUUUGGAUCUCGACCUCCCGCCUGAACACGGACUUUGGCGCCUCGCUUCUGCCCUUGAACUCAUGCCUGCCCACAGACCUUCGACCCUGCCUUGCCCCCCUGUGGGAAUUCUGCAACUCGCUCAACACUACCGCAGAAAGGUUGCAUCCGUGUACACUGUGCGUCCUUUCAUAUCCCGAGAUCCUUUGUGCGCUCAACUCUGAAAAUACUUUUCAACAUGGCAGCGAUAUGCGGAGCGGAAAGAGCCACCUUAAAAUGUGAGUAUAGCUUUUUUUGUUCAUUUAAAACAGCUAAAAGAAGACAAGUCACGCUGGGGUGACGGUAGUGAUAUACAUUUGUGUUAAAAUGCGAGGCCUCGACCAUCGUAAUGUCGUGCUCUUUGCCCCUGUUUUUAUCCCGAGGGAGAGCCAUAUAUCCGGCCAUUGCAGACAGCUUCGUGCCCAGAGCUUUUUUCAACGUUUAGAAGUAAAGCCUUACAUCUCUUAAAGGCCUACUGAAACCCACUACUACCGACCACGCAGUCUGAUAGUUUAUAUAUCAAUGAUGAAAUCUUAACAUUAUAACACAUGCCAAUACGGCCGGGUUAACUUAUAAAGUGACAUUUUAAAUUUGCCGCUAAACUUCCGGUUCGAAACGCCUCUGAGGAUGACGUAUGCGCGUGACGUAGCCCGACGAACACGGGUAUGCCUUCCACAUUGAAGCCAAUAUGAAAAAGCUCUGUUUUCAUUUCAU